AGCGAACGCUGGCGGCAGGCCUAACACAUGCAAGUCGAACGAACCUUUCGGGGUCAGUGGCGGACGGGUGAGUAACACGUGGGAACGUGCCUUUAGGUUCGGAAUAACUCAGGGAAACUUGUGCUAAUACCGAAUGUGCCCUUCGGGGGAAAGAUUUAUCGCCUUUAGAGCGGCCCGCGUCUGAUUAGCUAGUUGGUUGAGGUAAUGGCUCACCAAGGCGACGAUCAGUAGCUGGUCUGAGAGGAUGAUCAGCCACAUUGGGACUGAGACACGGCCCAAACUCCUACGGGAGGCAGCAGUGGGGAAUCUUGCGCAAUGGGCGAAAGCCUGACGCAGCCAUGCCGCGUGAAUGAUGAAGGUCUUAGGAUUGUAAAAUUCUUUCACCGGGGACGAUAAUGACGGUACCCGGAGAAGAAGCCCCGGCUAACUUCGUG
rnacentral:rRNA from 1 species